AGGACGAACGCUGGCGGCGUGCUUAACACAUGCAAGUCGAGCGGAAAGGCCCUUCGGGGUACUCGAGCGGCGAACGGGUGAGUAACACGUGAGUAAUCUGCCCCUAGCUCUGGGAUAGCUCCGGGAAACCGGGAUUAAUACCGGAUAUGACCACUUUAGACAUCUGUUGUGGUGGAAAGAAUUUCGGCUAGGGAUGAGCUCGCGGCCUAUCAGCUUGUUGGUGGGGUAACGGCCUACCAAGGCGACGACGGGUAGCCGGCCUGAGAGGGCGACCGGCCACACUGGGACUGAGACACGGCCCAGACUCCUACGGGAGGCAGCAGUGGGGAAUAUUGCGCAAUGGGCGAAAGCCUGACGCAGCGACGCCGCGUGGGGGAUGAAGGCCUUCGGGCUGUAAACCCCUUUCAGCAGGGACGAAGCGAAAGUGACGGUACCUGCAGAAGAAGCGCCGGCUAACUACGUGCCAGCAGCCGC
rnacentral:rRNA from 1 species